UACGGGGGGGGCAAGCGUUGUUCGGAAUUACUGGGCGUAAAGGGCUCGUAGGCGGCCAACUAAGUCGGAUGUGAAAUCCCCAGGCUUAACCUGGGAAUUGCAUCCGAUACUGGAUGGCUUGAAUCCGGGAGAGGGAUGCGGAAUUCCAGGUGUAGCGGUGAAAUGCGUAGAUAUCUGGAGGAACACCGGUGGCGAAGGCGGCAUCCUGGACCAACACUGACGCUGAUGAGCGAAAGCCAGGGGAGCAAACGGG
rnacentral:rRNA from 1 species